rnacentral:misc_RNA from 1 species
AUUCCAUAAAGAUCAAAACAUAUUUGCAGGAUUGCGGAAACAAAUCAAACUCUGUAACCUUCACUAACUUCCAUUUCUUUCUCCUCAAGUAUAUACAACCCACCUUUGAACCUACUCUAACGCGUAGGCUUAUUUACAGAUGCUAGUGUACAUGAGAAAGACAUGACUUACAAAGUCAAUGUACAAUUUUAAGACAAAACACAAGAUAACAAUGUACAUAAAAAAAAAAAAAAUCUCUCUUUUUGCGAGUGUAUGAUGAUUCAGAAAGAAUAGGUUGUCUGCAAGCUUCAUCACAUUAGGUCAGCAAUCCAAAUUGCAGGCUACUAAGUUGCAGAUGGAAUAAUUUGUUUCGGACUCCAUGCAAUUUCAAAGCUUAAUCCAAAACUUUUGCAUGAUUAUCACCACAGAUUUUCAAGCAUAUUAGAUCACAGUGAAGCAUCAUCCUCUUUAGAAUAACGGGCUUUUAGCUUGCGCAAAAACUCUAAUGUCUCUGCAUAGGAAGGAUCACUGCAGUUGAUUGGCUUGCAAGAAUUUAUGUGAUCCGUUGACUCUAGCACCUGUUUAUUGAGAAGUAGUGAAACGAAAUUUGUGUGAAAAUCUAAACGUACUUGUUCAAAUUCUGACCGCAUCUUGUCCAAAACAAUUCUAUACAAUCAAAUCCUAUUUCUCAACAAAACUUGUAUCAUGAAUAAAUAAAUAAUACAGUGAGGAUGGAAAAAUUGCAAUCAUAUUCAUAUGCAUUAAUUUGACAAAACAAAAGCCUCCCAUUCAGAAAAAGAAGAAAAAAAAGACUGCCAUAAACUCAUCCACCAUUCUUCAAAAAUGCAUUAUUCAAACGAGCCAAAGAAUAUUGUUAUGAGAAAAACACUUACAACAAGUUCGCCAAAU